CCUACGGGAGGCAGCAGUGGGGAAUAUUGCACAAUGGGGGAAACCCUGAUGCAGCAACGCCGCGUGAAGGAAGACGGUUUUCGGAUUGUAAACUUCUAUCAAUAGGGAAGAAAGAAAUGACGGUACCUAAAUAAGAAGCCCCGGCUAACUACGUGCCAGCAGCCGCGGUAAUACGUAGGGGGCAAGCGUUAUCCGGAAUUACUGGGUGUAAAGGGAGAGUAGGCGGCAAGGUAAGCGAUAUGUGAAAGCCUGAAGCUUAACUUAAGGAUGGCAUAACGAACUAUCUAGCUAGAGUGCAGGAGCGGAAAGCGGAAUUCCUAGUGUAGCGGUGAAAUGCGUAGAUAUUAGGAAGAACACCAGUGGCGAAGGCGGCUUUCUGGGCUGAAACUGACGCUGAGGCUCGAAAGCGUGGGGAGCGAACAGGAUUAGAUACCCCUGUAGUC
rnacentral:rRNA from 1 species